AGAGUUUGAUCCUGGCUCAGAACGAACGCUGGCGGCAGGCCUAACACAUGCAAGUCGAACGGAUCCUUCGGGAUUAGUGGCAGACGGGUGAGUAACGCGUGGGAAGCUACCUUGUGGUAGGGAACAACAGUUGGAAACGACUGCUAAUACCCUAUGAGCCCUAUGGGGGAAAGAUUUAUCGCCAUGAGAUGUGCCCGCGUUAGAUUAGCUAGUUGGUAAGGUAAUGGCUUACCAAGGCGACGAUCUAUAGCUGGUCUGAGAGGAUGAUCAGCCACACUGGGACUGAGACACGGCCCAGACUCCUACGGGAGGCAGCAGUGGGGAAUAUUGGACAAUGGGGGCAACCCUGAUCCAGCCAUGCCGCGUGUGUGAUGACGGCCUUAGGGUUGUAAAGCACUUUCAGCAGUGA
rnacentral:rRNA from 1 species